GAUGAACGCUGGCGGCGUGCCUAAUACAUGCAAGUCGAGCGAACGGACGAGAAGCUUGCUUCUCUGAUGUUAGCGGCGGACGGGUGAGUAACACGUGGAUAACCUACCUAUAAGACUGGGAUAACUUCGGGAAACCGGAGCUAAUACCGGAUAAUAUUUUGAACCGCAUGGUUCAAAAGUAAAAGACGGUCUUGCUGUCACUUAUAGAUGGAUCCGCGCUGCAUUAGCUAGUUGGUAAGGUAACGGCUUACCAAGGCAACGAUGCAUAGCCGACCUGAGAGGGUGAUCGGCCACACUGGAACUGAGACACGGUCCAGACUCCUACGGGAGGCAGCAGUAGGCAAUCUUCCGCAAUGGGCGAAAGCCUGACGGAGCAACGCCGCGUGAGUGAUGAAGGUCUUCGGAUCGUAAAACUCUGUUAUUAGGGAAGAACAUAUGUGUAAGUAACUGUGCACAUCUUGACGGUACCUAAUCAGAAAGCCACGGCUAACUACGUG
rnacentral:rRNA from 1 species